rnacentral:rRNA from 1 species
AACGAACGCUGGUAGCGUGGAUUAGGCAUGCAAGUCGAACGGGAUCCGGAAGGCAGCAAUGUCGGCCGGUGAGAGUGGCGGAAGGGCGAGGAACACGUGGGCAACCUGUCCAGGAGGCGGGGAAAACCUCGGGAAACUGAGGCUAAUACCGGAUGUGGCGCGGAAGGGCAUCCUUCCAGCGCCAAAGGGGGCGAAAGCUCCCCCUCCACGAGGGGCCCGCGCACCAUCGGCUAGUUGGCGGGGUAACGGCCCACCAAGGCUCACGGUUAGCUGGUCUGAGAGGAUGAACGGCCACAUUGGGACUGAGACACGGCCCAGACUCC